rnacentral:rRNA from 1 species
GAUGAACGCUGGCGGCGUGCCUAAUACAUGCAAGUCGAGCGAAUGGAUUAAGAGCUUGCUCUUAUGAAGUUAGCGGCGGACGGGUGAGUAACACGUGGGUAACCUGCCCAUAAGACUGGGAUAACUCCGGGAAACCGGGGCUAAUACCGGAUAACAUUUUGAACCGCAUGGUUCGAAAUUGAAAGGCGGCUUCGGCUGCCACUUAUGGAUGGACCCGCGUCGCAUUAGCUAGUUGGUGAGGUAACGGCUCACCAAGGCAACGGUGCGUAGCCCACCUGAGAGGGUGAUCGGCCACACUGGGACUGAGACACGGCCCAGACUCCUACGGGAGGCAGCAGUAGGGAAUCUUCCGCAAUGGACGAAAGUCUGACGGAGCAACGCCGCGUGAGUGAUGAAGGCUUUCGGGUCGUAAAACUCUGUUGUUAGGGAAGAACAAGUGCUAGUUGAAUAAGCUGGCACCUUGACGGUACCUAACCAGAAAGCCACGGCUAACUACGUGCCAGCCGCCGCAGUAA